rnacentral:rRNA from 1 species
UACGAAGGGGGCUAGCGUUGCUCGGAAUCACUGGGCGUAAAGGGCGCGUAGGCGGCCGAUUAAGUCGGGGGUGAAAGCCUGUGGCUCAACCACAGAAUUGCCUUCGAUACUGGUUGGCUUGAGACCGGAAGAGGACAGCGGAACUGCGAGUGUAGAGGUGAAAUUCGUAGAUAUUCGCAAGAACACCAGUGGCGAAGGCGGCUCACUGGCCCGAUACUGACGCUGAGGCACGAAAGCGUGGG